rnacentral:rRNA from 1 species
UAAUACGGAGGGUGCAAGCGUUGUCCGGAUUUAUUGGGUUUAAAGGGUGCGUAGGCGGCUUAUUAAGUCAGGGGUGAAAGACGGUGGCUCAACCAUCGCAGUGCCCUUGAUACUGAUGAGCUUGAAUACACUUGAGGUAGGCGGAAUGUGACAAGUAGCGGUGAAAUGCAUAGAUAUGUCACAGAACACCAAUUGCGAAGGCAGCUUACUAAGGUGCAAUUGACGCUGAGGCACGAAAGCGUGGGGAUCAAACAGGAUUAGAUACCCUGGUAGUCCACGCCCUAAACGAUGAAUACUCGAUGUUAGCGAUAUACAGUUAGCGUCUAAGCGAAAGCGUUAAGUAUUCCACCUGGGGAGUACGCCCGCAAGGGU